GGAGAAGUACCCAAGAGGCCGAAGGGGCUCCCCUGCUAAGGGAGUAGGCCGGGAAACUGGCGCGAGGGUUCAAAUCCCUCCUUCUCCGCCA
rnacentral:tRNA from 2 species